rnacentral:rRNA from 1 species
UACGUAGGUGGCAAGCGUUAUCCGGAAUUAUUGGGCGUAAAGCGCACGCAGGUGGCUUCUUAAGUCUGACGUGAAAGCUCCUGGCUUAACCGGGAGAGGUCGUUGGGUACUGGGAGGCUUGAGGCAAGGAGAGGGGCGUAGAAUUCCCGGUGUAGUGGUGGGAAUGCGUAGAUAUCGGGGGGAAUACCAGAGGCGCAAGCGGCGCCCUGGCCUUGGCCUGACGCUCAGGUGCGAAAGCGUGGGGAGCGAACGGG